GUCCUGACUUGCUAAUUCUAUACGCACCUUCCCCCCCAACCCCCCACCAACCCCAGAGGAAAAUCACUAUCAAUACCUUCAACACCCGUCUCCAGGCUGCGGUAGGAGGCACCCCUCCCUCCAGAUGCGGCUCACAGGCAUCGGAGCUAAAGAAGGAGGAGGAGGUGAAUGUGGUCCUGGAGGCGCGCCGGAGGCGGGGCCGUCGCCGAGCAGCAUCACCCUUGCCGGGACCCUAGGUUUGGAAACAGGCCCAGCAAGUAUUAUGUGUUUCAGAGGCAGGCACACCCCCUCGGCACUCCUGUGACAUUCAUCAGGCGACAUGGGUCGCGUUUGUCUGCUACGAGUUUUCCAUCCGCUGCAUCUCUGAAAGAGAUCACUCACCAGGGCAGUUUGUGUCCGUCAGCGUGAGAUGGAUCUUCAAAGUCACUCCUCUGUCAGGAAAUCUUCAGGGACACCAAG
ensembl:lncRNA